AGUGAACGCUGGCGGUAGGCCUAACACAUGCAAGUCGAACGGCAGCACAGUAAGAGCUUGCUCUUACGGGUGGCGAGUGGCGGACGGGUGAGGAAUACAUCGGAAUCUACUUUUUCGUGGGGGGUAACGUAGGGAAACUUACGCUAAUACCGCAUACGACCUACGGGUGAAAGCAGGGGAUCUUCGGACCUUGCGCGAUUGAAUGAGCCGAUGUCGGAUUAGCUAGUUGGCGGGGUAAAGGCCCACCAAGGCGACGAUCCGUAGCUGGUCUGAGAGGAUGAUCAGCCACACUGGAACUGCGACACGGUCCAGACUCCUACGGGAGGCAGCAGUGGGGAAUAUUGGACAAUGGGCGCAAGCCUGAUCCAGCCAUACCGCGUGGGUGAAGAAGGCCUUCGGGUUGUAAAGCCCUUUUGUUGGGAAAGAAAAGCAGCAGGUUAAUACCCCGCUGUUCUGACGGUACCCAAAGAAUAAGCACCGGCUAACUUCGUG
rnacentral:rRNA from 1 species